rnacentral:tRNA from 1 species
ACCUUGCUGGCUCAGUUGGUAGAGCGUGAGACUCUUAAUUUCAGGCUCAUGAGUUCAAGUCCUAUGCCGGGUG